UCCUGGCUACAGAACGAACGCUGGGCGGCAUGCCUAACACAUGCAAGUCGAACGAGACCUUCGGGUCUAGUGGCGCACGGGUGCGUAACGCGUGGGAACUGCUUUAGGUUCGGAAUAACUCAGAGAAAUUUGAGCUAAUACCGGAUGAUGUCUUCGGACCAAAGAUUUAUCGCCUUUAGAUGGGCCCGCGUAAGAUUAGCUAGUUGGUGGGGUAAAGGCCUACCAAGGCGACGAUCUUUAGCUGGUCUGAGAGGAUGAUCAGCCACACUGGGACUGAGACACGGCCCAGACUCCUACGGGAGGCAGCAGUGGGGAAUAUUGGACAAUGGGGCGAAAGCCUGAUCCAGCAAUGCCGCGUGAGUGAUGAAGGCCUUAGGGUUGUAAAGCUCUUUUACCCGAGAUGAUAAUGACAGUAUCGGGAGAAUAAGCUCCGGCUAACUCCGUG
rnacentral:rRNA from 1 species